rnacentral:rRNA from 1 species
UACGAAGGGGGCUAGCGUUGCUCGGAAUCACUGGGCGUAAAGCGCACGUAGGCGGAUUGCUAAGUCAGGGGUGAAAUCCUGGAGCUCAACUCCAGAACUGCCUUUGAUACUGGCGAUCUUGAGUCCGGGAGAGGUGAGUGGAACUGCGAGUGUAGAGGUGAAAUUCGUAGAUAUUCGCAAGAACACCAGUGGCGAAGGCGGACUCACUGGCCCGGUACUGACGCUGAGGUGCGAAAGCGUGGGGAGCGAACAGG